GAUACCCGAGCUAUUUAUGGCUAUUUUCCGAAGUUGUGGGAUUAUAGAAAAUGAAUUAAAGAAAAUGGAAAUUUCUGCGGUGCAAUCCUAGUCGUCCAAAACUUCCACCGCUUCAUCAGGGCCGUCUAAAUUAAUUAGAGGGAGGUUAUAAAUAGAGGAGAGGCUGAUCGAACGUUCCAGAUCAACCUGGAGGUACCCAGCGCUCUCGAUCUUUCUCGGUGCCUGAUGACCCGCGACCAGGCCACCUCACGACGGCGCACCACCACAAAUUGCUUCCUCUCCUCGUCGCCGACGUCUCUCUGGGGUCAGGUCUUUCAACCGGAAGCCCUGGCGCGAGAAUCGACACCAUGAAGCCUCAUGUUUUCCGGCGAGUUUCUGCAACUUCCGGUGACCGAUUGGGCUGCAUGUGGUAUGGAACUUACUCCUUUCGUCAUCCUCUACGUCAUAGUUUAAUUAGUUUUCGAAUUGGAUUAGGUUCUGAUGAUUUGAGUUCUGGGUUGCUCUCGGUCUCGACGCUAUCACCGACGCCGGUGACUCCUCCGGCACCUCUGGCCUUGGAUUUCGUCUUACGCAUGUAUGGAUGUGUAUUUCAGAAGCUGUGAAUGAGUGGAAUUCGAUUUGGCAGUAUGUUUAAUUGUUUAUAGCCGGCUUCCAGGAAAGAGUUGAAAUAGAAGCUUGGGUUCUCACCUGCAAGUCGCACUGCUGAAGUGUGGAUGCAGGUACUGUGCACUGGUGAUGGGACUAUAGCGGAAGGAGCUGGGUGUGCGGAAACAAGUUCGGUAAAUCGUCGUUUGAACCUUAUUCUAAAUUCUAUUUCUCGAACUUCGUAUUCCGAGACUUGUUAGUAGUUAGCCUUGUGUCAAUGUUGGUUGAGUUCUCAUUUCCUUGGAGUUCGUACCUCUUGUGUGAGAACUCAUUUCAAGUUCUAGACGAAUGAAAUAAAUUUUAGCAACUCAAUUAUUUUCACCUCAAAAAUAUUUGUAGCUUCCGCUGUGUUUCUACGAAAAGUUUUCAAACAAAAUGCCUAGCAGUUCUCUAGAAUGUAAAUCGAGCGUUCGGUUUAUGUUUUAGAGGCUCGCGGCACUGUGACGUGCUUAAGCUGGUGAGGUGCAGCUUGGGGCGUUACAGAAAGUGGUAUCAGAGCAAUGCUUCCGAGUUUUCGAUUUCAAUGAUCUAAAAAUCUCUGAUACCCGAAAAUUUUUUUGUCGGCUUGUGAAAAUUUUCAAAUCCUGUGAAAAAGUCGACUUGGGAAAUGCUUGUUCGAGAACGUGUUUCCGAACCUUUGACUUGAAAAGUUGUGAAAAUCUCUACCUAACGCUGGAAAAGGGUUGACUUCGGUUUUUAAGACUGGGUUCCGAAAAACGUUUGAGAAAGUUUCCGGAAAAAGGAUUUCGAAAAAAACGGUUCACAAGCGGGUUUUAAAGGUGUUUCCAUUAAGAGAUUUAGAAAAAGGGGUGCCAAAAGCGAAAGUGCUUUGAAAGGCGAUUUGGUGAAAAACGGAUUUACUUCCCGUUAUUGUUCAAAAGUUUUGGAUUUUGGUGUUUACUAUUUACGUGUUUAACCCGAACCAACUUUGAAAUGUGUUUUGCCGGAAAUAUGCUUUGUGCCGAAAAAGGCAAGUUUUUGUGGAAAUCGUUGUUUAACUUCAACGUGGGUUUUUACAUUUGAGGUUUUUGAACGAAACCUUGCACUAAUUUAAACAGUUUUUUCGAAAUUCGUCUAGAGUCUGCAUUUUCAGUUACGUGGGAGACUUUAGGAAUUUCUUUACCAUGAAAUUCUGAUUCACUUCUUGGUUGUGAAAGAGUAAAAAGAAAAUUUACUUGAACGGUUUGUUGCUGGUAUGUGUUCAUAUAAGUACAACUCUUCACUCGGUUUAGGGCCCGACUGGCCACCGGAUCGCCCUAAUGUAUACCGAGGUUGAAAGUUGUUAAUUACUGAAUACAACUUGCGACAAAUAAAUGACUCUAGAGUUAUUCUCUGAAACUUCAACUUCUUGUUAGUCGGAACUAUUGUUUGUUUUUCCCUUUGGAUCCCUUAAUCCGAAAAUCGUUAUCCCUUCUUCGAAAGGUUGACAUAUGUUCCGACUUGUCUUUGUAAUUGACCUUGUGUUUGUGUCAUUUUCUGUCAUUUUGAAUGUUGUGUUGAGAUAUUGUUGGAUUCACUUACCGAUUCGGUUGUUUGCCAUCGCUCUGUUAAGUGAAUCCGGUUUGUUAAACGUUGGACUUGGUAAUUGAUUCUUCUUUGGAUACCUUGUCGAGUCUAGUUCACUUGAUUACUUCCACAGACUCGAUUGUUGUGAUUUGUCUUAAAUUCUUUUCAAGCCCAACUGUUAUAUGUUUAUACAUUAUGUUGAAUUGGUUUAUGGAUUCACUUCCAAAUUGUGCAUAUUCACGUGAAUCCUGUUCAUUGAAAUAUUGUUGGUGGGACUCGAUGUUGCAUCUAUCUUGUAAUCUUUAUCGAGUGCAGUUAUUGUUCAUCCUUUCAUUUGUUUAUCUUGAAUUUGAAUGAGUAUCGCCACCCAAAGCUCCUCCACAGUGCACAGACCGCGGCAAAGAUUACGUGGGCCCAGUAUGAGGUAAAAGUAAAAAGGAAAAGGUACGUGAACGACAAACUUUAGGUCCCUAUAAGCAUAGUGGAUGUUUGGACAUGGAAAUUGUCUUGUGAGUUUCUUUUGGUUGUCUGAGUAGUGUUGAUUGUUACUCUCUGUUACUCUCAUGUUAGCCUUGAAAUGUCGUUUGACAACGCUCGAAGACUUCAAAUCAUUAUUCCUGGAAGAUCAUGUCAAGUACAACUCGUUGACGCUUCUCAUGCCUUAGGGGUAUGAGUCAAGAAAAGUGGAUCUUCAGCUACUUAAUCUACUUAACGACGGAACUAUAAUCCUCGCUUGGACAUGUCAACUUCGAAAUUAAGAGGAAUUAAUUGUGCUUUAGAACUUGCCAUUUGACGUUGCUUGUGGAAUUUUAGGAUUUGUAAAAUCUGAAAGCAUGGAUUCGGCAAGUGGUACUAUAUAAGGCAUUGCUUUGGGGUAGCCGAGGAAGCUACGUGAUUAGAAAAUUUAUAAAUUUGACUAAAGGCCCUUAAGAUACACUUGGCGGUGUGUGGACCUCCUCGGGAAUGCUUUAUCAAGUUAAUUCGUAGUCAGCAUGGGCCGAAGCUUAUCGUGAAGGAAGAAGGAGAAGAGGUGUGUAUCACCGUGCAACCUCUAUAGCGGCUUCGCGAACUAUGUUUCUUCUCACUCGUAUGUGAGGUGGGAACCUCGUGUUAAUUACGGCUAUAACUGACCGAGUUUCUGAACGCCGAGAUUCGCGUCUGUACGAGGAAACAAGCCUACUUUGUUCCCUGGAUCAAAUUGCUCGACUCUAGGUAUCGACAAAUUUGGUAGAUAUCGAUAUGUUAACUAUUGCGUGGUUGAGUUCGUUCGACGCUUGACCAUUUACCGAAGCCAAUCAUGAAAGGUCAUCGAGUAAUACGUCUAUCAAGGAAGAGCAGGCGAAUCUCUGGGAAUCUGGUCAUCAACAACGUGUGUAAGGACCGUAGAAGGACUGCAAGUAUUUCUUCCUUGCUAAUAGUUACGUUGAAUUUUAUUCCCUUGUUUUGGUUGAUGUUGUUUUACGAUUCUCCAACCUCAUUAAAGUUCUGGUUAGUUGAGAUCAUGCUAGUUCAACGUUGAAACCUCUCCAUUUGAGUUAUUUCCAAGGUUUAGAAAAUCUUGUGUUUUGAAAAGGCUUUUCGAGUUGCAAAAGUAUUUUGAGUAAAGUAAUUUCCAAGUUAUAUUCGAAAUUGUUUUCAAUUCCAACAAAGUUCACCCAAAGUUGAGACAUUUUAACUCUCAAGGUUCUGCUGAUUUUCCGUAGCAACUACUUGGGAAUCAGUUUUGAAUGAUUAUCAGAAUUCUGAAAUUUUUGAAAUUUUAACCCAACAGUGUUUAGACUUUUGGCUACUGAUCUGGAAAAUUUCAGUUCGUUUCGACUGAGAAUGAAGUCGUGGUAAUUUUUCCAAAUCUGCCUUGUGAGGAAGGAAAAUUUGACAACUUUUUCUGCAACUUGUUUUGAAAAAAUUUUCGCUUCCUUUCUCUUUCCUUAUCCGAGAGUUUACCAAUUUGGUGUUGAAAAGAAAUCAUUUGAAAUUUUCUAGAACUCAAAUUCAUUUUCUUAGCAAAUCUGCAGAGUGAAGUUUUGGCAUUGUUUUCGGUUGCUUAUUCAUAUACGUCAAAUUCAACGUUAACUGUAGUAAUAAGGGAGGAUAUUCUCUACACUCCAAGUUGAUUGGCAACCGAAGGACAAGAAGGAGAUGUGCCAAGAAUGAAAGGCGGAAAGCUUGCGUCGUCACCAUUAGAAACGCGACUUGCGUGUACUUAGCUAUUUAGCUUAACGGGAUCUUGACGAGGUGUAGACUAGAAAAGUGUCUUGCCGUCAAGUAUGUUACGAGUCCUAUUCAUGGUUGCUUAACCAUCAGUUCGUCUAAUUUUGGGGAACCUUUCGAGAUAGACGCUGUGCUAUACGUAAAAGCCUGUGAGCCUUUAGCCCAAGAGAUAAACCUUUAAAAGGUGAUCCUCAAAUUUCAUCAAAUCGUGGCAGAAGCGCUUGUUGAAUGUCUGUUCGACAAACUAGUGUCCAAAGGCUCGUUGGCACAUAGUUGUUGCGGGAACGGCAACAUGAUUCGAUGUUGUUAACACAACGCAUAUCGUCCACGUGGUUGGUAGGUGUACUUCGUCGUCGAGUUCGUGGAAUGGAUGCAUUAGCCAAAAAGACGGUCAUAAACGAAUACGUAACGAACUCGAGUACAUUACGAGGUAAUUCGUAAAGUGUCGCCGCGUGGAAAUUCGUGGAAUAACUUUUAGAAAUCGAUUGUAAGGUUCCGUGUGCAAUCCUUGUAAAGCGUGAUUGGGGAAGACGAAUGCUCAACUAGCUCUGCAUGUGUAUGUCCGUUUAAGGACAGUGGCUUCUUCCACGGUAAAGUGCGGGUUAUACGUUAGUGAGCGACCGAUGAACUCCUAACAAAGAAUGUAUUCCAAUAGACGAUAAUGGUCGUCAAAGCUACGGAUCGCAGUGACAACGUCGACUUGUUCAUCAUAGUUGACGUGGGUUCCAUGUGAGGAACAUAAUUUAACCUACGGGUAGUUGUAUCCGACUACGAGUAUUUAAGUAUGUCUUUUGACAAAACUGCAAUUCCCGGGAUGUUGUACUUGUAAUGAGCGGGAAUUGAAUGAAGACGUGAGUCGGCUAUGAGUUGCUAGUUGUGGCAGUAUUGUGUUUGGGGUAACAAGGGUAGUAGUUACCCAGUCUUAUUGGUAUAAACAUGAAUUGUCUGUGGAAAUGACGAGUGUGGUGGUGUUAUGAGGAGAGUAAUGAAAUUGUUAAUUACUCAGUCUGGUUGCUAUAAGAAAAGUCUUGUGGGUACAGAAAAAUAAAAUUAAACGGAGCGAAGUGUAUCCUGUGGAUGAUAAUUGAGGGACACUUGGUUAAGAAAAAUGUUAGCUCCGAUGGUGAUAUGUAUGACUAGUAAUAGUCGAAUUGUACCACAAGAAAUUAGACUGAGAAAUAGUUAUGGGUACUGGAGUCCGACAUGAAAAGUAAAGUAUUGUUGACCAUUUGACCAAUCAGGAAAUUUCGAGGACGAAAUUUAUUUAAGGGGGGUGGAACUGUGGGCCCCGGAAAAUCUAUCGAGCUUAAAUUGAGAUCGUUCAACAAGUUAUUUAUUACGAUCUCGAUAAAUGUCAAGAUGCUCGAGAAAAUUUUCAGAAAUUUUCAUAAAGUGAAAACCUCAAUUUGAGGGUUGGAUGAUAAAGUACACGACACAACGAGUUCGUGGAAGUUUUCGGGGAAUUUUUCGGAUACCCGAGCUAUUUAUGGCGAUUUUCCGAAGUUGUGGGAUUAUAGAAAAUGAAUUAAAGAAAAUGGAAAUUUCUGCGGUGCAAUCCUAGUCGUCCAAAACUUCCACCGCUUCAUCAGGGCCGUCUAAAUUAAUUAGAGGGAGGUUAUAAAUAGAGGAGAGGCUGAUCGAACGUUCCAGAUCAACCUGGAGGUACCCAGCGCUCUCGAUCUUUCUCGGUGCCUGAUGACCCGCGACCAGGCCACCUCACGACGGCGCACCACCACAAAUUGCUUCCUCUCCUCGUCGCCGACGUCUCUCUGGGGUCAGGUCUUUCAACCGGAAGCUCUGGCGCGAGAAUCGACACCAUGAAGCCUCAUGUUUUCCGGCAAGUUUCUGCAACUUCCGGUGACCGAUUGGGCUGCAUGUGGUAUGGAACUUACUCCUUUCGUCAUCCUCUACGUCAUAGUUUAAUUAGUUUUCGAAUUGGAUUAGGUUCUGAUGAUUUGAGUUCUGGGUUGCUCUCGAUCUCGACGCUGUCACCGACGCCGGUGACUCCUCCGGCACCUCUGGCCUUGGAUUUCGUCUUACGCAUGUAUGGAUGCGUAUUUCAGAAGCUGUGAAUGAGUGGAAUUCGAUUUGGCAGUAUGUUUAAUUGUUUAUAGCCGGCUUCCAGGAAAGAGUUGAAAUAGAAGCUUGGGUUCUCACCUGCAAGUCGCACUGCUGAAGGACUCCAGUUAUUCGAGGAACGGAAGGUUCGCAACUCUCGGAGUACGUGAAAGCAAGCACCGGAAUCCAGAAAUGUGAUGGCUUGAGAGCAAAGGGUGGCUCUGACUUCCUUGGGUUCGAUCCCCAAAACCUCCGGAGGGUUAGUUACACCGGUCAGACGGUGAGCGAUCGUAAUGACGACCCGAUCCGUGUGUGUAGCUAGGUAGCGGACGCUCUCGCUACGCUUACCUGGUGAUAAAUUAAAUUGAGGUAAGGUCGUGUAGUGGGUCUAUGGGACCGGCCAUCAGUGUGGAUGCAGGUACUGUGCACUGGUGAUGGGACUAUAGCGGAAGGAGCUGGGUGUGCGGAAACAAGUUCGGUAAAUCGUCGUUUGAACCUUAUUCUAAAUUCUAUUUCUCGAACUUCGUAUUCCGAGACUUGUUAGUAGUUAGCCUUGUGUCAAUGUUGGUUGAGUUCUCAUUUCCUUGGAGUUCGUACCUCUUGUGUGAGAACUCAUUUCAAGUUCUAGACGAAUGAAAUAAAUUUUAGCAACUCAAUUAUUUUCACCUCAAAAAUAUUUGUAGCUUCCGCUGUGUUUCUACGAAAAGUUUUCAAACAAAAUGCCUAGCAGUUCUCUAGAAUGUAAAUCGAGCGUUCGGUUUAUGUUUUAGAGGCUCGCGGCACUGUGACGUGCUUAAGCUGGUGAGGUGCAGCUUGGGGCGUUACAUAUAGCAAGAGCAAAUCAUAUUUUUCGCGAUUUCAUGGAUCCAUAUAAAUUAAUUUAAAGUAUGUAUUUUUAGAGCGGAUAUAAAAAAAAAUUAAGUUUCGAUCUCAAAA